GAUGAAGAACGCAGCGAAAUGCGAUAAGUAAUGCGAAUUGCAGAAUUCAGUGAGUCAUCGAAUCUUUGAACGCACAUUGCGCCCCCUGGUAUUCCGGGGGGCAUGCCUGUCCGAGCGUCAUUGCCGCCCUCAAGCACGGCUUGUGUGUUGGGCCCCCGCCCCCCGGCUUCGGGGGGCGGGCCCGAAAGGCAGCGGCGGCACCGCGUCCGGUCCUCGAGCGUAUGGGGCUUCGUCACCCGCUCUGUAGGCCCGGCCGGCGCCCGCCGGCGACCCCAAUCAAUCUUUCCAGGUUGACCUCGGAUCAGGUAGGGAUACCCGCUGAACUUAAGCAUAUCAAUAAGCGGAGGA
rnacentral:misc_RNA from 1 species